AUCAUUGAGAAGCUUAAUAGUCCCUUAACAACACAACGUAAUUAAAACGUUUAUCUGAUUUUACAGAGUUAUCUCCUUGUAGUGUUAGGUACCACCUUAAUUGAUAAAUCAUGUACAUGUGAUAAUAAAAUCAAAUGAUAACAUUUCAAAUGUCUAUAGCAGAAAAUGCCAAAGUAACACGCUAGUUUGUUAAUCACAUUAGAUAUAACAUUUAAGGAAUGACUGUAAUAUUUUUUCUGUCUAUUCGAAAUAACAUAAAAAAUUUGGUGCACACUGAAUAACGCGCGUAGCGGGUUAUUUAACAGUGUGUUCCACAUUUUGUAUGUUAUUCCGAAUAGACAGAAAAAAAUAUUACAGUCAUUUCUUAUAAUUUAAUUCUAAAUUCCAUUUUAAACCGUAGAAAACCAUGAAAAACGUUGAUGACGUCACGGUCAUAUGACUAAAUUAUGUCUAUGGGCUCAUGAAAAAUACCGUCAACCAAUCAGAAGACGCGUUACAUCCAAAAUUAAAUUAUAAAUGAUUGUCUUUAAACUUUCAAACGUAACAAGAUAAUCGUAUGAAUCUUUGUAGUAUGAAUGCAUGUUUAUUAUCCGUAGCAUUUCAAAGUUUAGUUAUUACUUUACAUUUUCUCUUUCAGCAUUUUAGAUUUGAACUGUUUGCCUCAUAUGGAUUCUGUUUUGUUUUUUCCUUUAAACUUUAUAACAUGUAUGCGUGCAAAAAAUUUUAUUAUCCUUAAUUCCUUUUGAACAUGAAAAAUUAAACUAUUAUCUGUUUCCUGUGUUUCAGAUGAGAUAAAUGAUUACUAUACAAAAAUUGAAAACAGUUCCAUAAAAUCAAUCUAUGAUAGCUUGAGUCGGAAUUAAACUGCCAUUUUUAUGCUGAAGAAAUUAAUUUCAUUAAUGUUAUGAACUAUAAUCACAUUGCAUCAAAACAAACGCCAAAUAAUAUUUUUAACGAGUUAAAUAAAGUGAAAAAGUUUAUCAGAUUAUAAAUAUCAUGAAAAAAAGUAAAAUCACAAAAAAACAAAGCAGACAUAAUCACUAAAUUAGUCAAAUUAUGGUUACAGCGGCCAUUACUGUGUUACAAUCUCAAGACAAAACAAACAUUUAAAAAAAACACAAAAAACAUCUAUCAAACUAAAAAUCCUAUUUCUUGUUUCACGUGUUGGGCAUCAGAUAUUGCAAACGUCACAUAAAAGAAAUUUUGUCGUUCAAUGCCUAUUCAAACAAUUAUAUUUUCACAUAGGGAAUGGUGGUAUGCCGGGUUAUAAAAUCAAAAUAUAGUAAUGUUUUGUUCUUGUAAUUUAAAACCAACUUAAACAUGUUAAACAUGUAUUUCAUGCAGUAAAGUGAUUUUGUUUUAUGUGUUUAUGACACUUUUUAUGAAUAACUUUUAUUUGGUAAGUUCAAGAACAAAAUCGGGAAAUCUUUAAAUGAAUGAGGGUCAAAAUGAAAUCAUUUACAAAGAAUUUCAACCGAUAGGAUUACAACUUUCUUUACCAAUCCACAAUUCCUUUAAGUUCUUAAAUUUGAUUUCAAACAUAAUAUUGUUAUUAUGUCUACGUAUAAACGUAUCCUCUUCCACUUCGUACUUUAUUUUGCCUUUUUAAUCUUUUACAUACGAGCGUCACUGAUGAGUCUUUUGUAGACGAAAACGCGCCUCUGUCGUAAAUAAUUAAAAAUGUAUUCCGGGUAUUUAUGAUGAGUUUCUUUAUCUUUAGUGCGAUAUAAUAACCAGUAUAAAAGACAAAAUAAUGAGUUGUGUAAGAAUUACCCAAAUCUUCUGUUUCCAACAAAAAUACAAAUGAAAAUAACACAGCCAUUUCAUAAGGUAAUAUAUCAAAUUAAACGUGGCAAUAAACGUCUCUAACGACAAAAAAAUUGGUAUACGUAGAACAAGGUAUAAUGUCUUCUGAUUUAUUGCUAAGUUUGUCUGACUUCUUUUCAUUUUAUUGAUGGUAAUUGAUUAUUAUGUAGUAAUAUCAGUUUAUGUUAGCUCUGACUUUGCUGUACUUUAUUCCUACCUUGAUAUGUUAUUUUGUUGACCUUGUUGAUUUUGUUUUCAGUACAUACAAAUAAAGUAUGUCUGCUACCGUUUCUUAGUCUCUAUUAUUGUAUUGCACAAUGUUGAUUGCGUUGAACCUCUUAUCUACUUCUUAUAGUAUUAUAUUGUUCUAUAAUAUGUCAUUUUAGUAUAUUUUUAUUAUGAAUUAAAAAAUACGUUAAACCACAAACAUCAAAAUAAAAUCGCGUAGUGGAAUGGACUAUUUGCAGAUUCUUAUAAAUUCUAUAUAAUUUUUGACUAUUUUAAAUCUCGGUCUAUUUCUAAAAUUAAUACUUACAUAUUUUUGAUUUUUUUAACCCUGUAUGCUAACAUUGCCCAUGUGAAAUUUUAAAAUUGUUUGUAUAUACCAUGUAUACAUUGAACGACAAAUAUAUGUGACGUAUGAAAAUUUUUGACGUCAGACAAUCGAAUCAAUGAGUAUGUAUGUAGAUAUAUGUUUUUGUGGUCUGUUAAAUUGUUUCUUUUCAAAAUUGUUACACGAUGAUCAUGAUGAUGACUGCUGUACUCAUAUUUUGACUAUUUUAUUUAUUAUGUCUGUUUAGUUCACGCAUCUUUGUAAAUAUAACGGAAUUUGACGAGACUGUCGUCAAAGGGAUAGGGUUAGCCCUAUAAAACCAGGAUUAAUCCACCAUUUUCUACAUUUGAUAAUGACUGUACCAAGUCAAGAAUAUGACAGUUCUUGUCUGUUCGUUAUUGAUGUGUUUUGUCAUUUGAUUUUGCCAUUUGAUUAUGGACUUUCCUAUUAGACUGUCCUCUGAGUUCAGUAUUUUUGUGAUUUUACUUUUUAUCAGUACUAGUGUGGACUAGUCAAAUGAAAAAAUAUUAAAAAGAGUAAAAUAAAAAAAAAAUACCGAAGUUUGAGGAAAAUUCUUUACUGGCACUGAAAAAGGUUCCAUAUGCAUGAACACUUUACAAUUCCAUUGACAUGUUCGAAUUUAAUUGUGAGAGUUUAUAUCCAGAAAAAUAGAUCUAUAAAUGACUUGAGGUAAAAUUGAGAACUGUACACAUUACUAAUUUAAAUAUUUUCCCCAAAUUAGAAUGUUUCGAAUUGAAAUUGAAAACACACAAUGAAUGUAUUGACAAUUUUCCUUUGUUUACCCAAGGUCAUGUAUGUAGUACCGGAUAAUGGUGAAAAUAAUCUUUUGAAUUUCAAUAGGAGAAAAUAAAUCAACUUGUUUUGUCGAGUUAUGAUAUUAAAAAAAAGUAGUCAAUCCUAUUCUAACUUUCACAUUGAUAGUAUUUUGGUCAAUACGAUUGAAAGGAAAUGGGACAUAUAUAUCAAUAAGACAAUAACCCAACUACAAAAAUAACCAAAAUACAGAAGAAGGAUAAUAUCAGAUUCCUCACACUCGCUGUUUCUAUGGCUUCCCUUGACUUUCAAUGGGAAGUAGAGAAAUACUGUAACGGUUUAUUUCUUCCUCUGUGAUAUUUUAUCCUGAGUAUAAUCUGUCCCGGUAAUUUUUUGCUAGGCAUGGUAUUUCACAGGUUAUUUUUUUCCAGAGGAGUGAAAAUCUAUCUGUGUUAUGCGGAUAGUAUGUACCGGUAUAUAUUUGCCGUACUAUAUUUCACAGAACCGUGUGAAAUAGAGUUCCAUUAACUACUAUGUAAGUUACUCACAAUCAAUAUAUACCUGACUAUAAUUAUAAAAUGUUUCACAAAGGUAGACCAAAUUUGCAUAAUUUAUCAAAGGGAGGUAAUUAUGAGCAAUUUAUAUUUUAAAGAUAUUAAUAUAAUAUAUUUCUGAAUCUAUUUUAUAUUGAAAUUUUUCCUUCAAUCUUAUUUUGUAUAUAUUCAUUUAUAUAAAAAGAUGACUUACAACUUGAUUUAAUAAGACAGAUAACAUUUCACAGGUAAAAACUAUCCAGCUGUUAAACAUGAUCAAACAUGCUUUUGUUCCAACAUAUUGUUAUGCUAUGAUUUAUCUGAUUUCCAUAUAAUCAACAGCUACAUCUCUGUCCCCAGACAAAACUAUUUAUAUAGUUAAAAAUAUCAUCAGAAUCAAAUUCUUCUAUUACUGUUAACAGUAGUAAUGCAACUAUAUUUCUACCUUACUUUUAAAUUUAUAUUUGUACUAAGAUCUGAAAACAACUCACUUUUACAUGUAUUACACUAACCUUAUUUAAUCAUGAUAUUAUUUUCACAAUUACGAACUUUGAAAUUACUUCUGUUUUUUUUUCCCCUAUGUUUCAUGAUCAUUUUUUUUAAAGUAUGAUAUUGACUUGAAUAUUUCAGGAAAUUUUUUCAAGGAUAAUUUGUGAAAUUAUUUAUCAUUAUAAUACAUUUUUUUUUUGAUAAUUUCGCUUUAUUUCAAAUACUUUUAAAGGAUAAGUUUUUUUCUAAAAACCAUAAUAACUUAACUACCCAGAUAGAAUUUCACGGCAAAGGAAAAGAUAUCCCAGGGAAAUAUUUUCCUCCGGAUAAAAAAAUAACAACAACUACUGUGACAUUUUUUACUCCGGAUCAAAUUUCACCCGGAUAUAAUUUUGCUUUACAUAACAAGGCCGCUGUUCUAUUGACUUCCAACUACUGUCAAGAAAAAAAAACGUGCCACUGUUCUUUUGACUUGAUAAGAUAGAAUAAGGCAAAGCAGUGCUGACGUUCUUUUGGCUUCAACCAAAAGUCAAGAUAAUGACAGGCAAAACAGCGCCACUGUUACAACUGUCAAGAUGAUGUGUUUUGGUGUGGUUCACUUUUGUAAUAGUUGCAAUGAAUACGUAUUUCAAAAAUAUUCAAAAUCAAAUAUGUCAGUCUAGUUUUCAAUUCUAAAAUUGGAAUGAGUCCUUGAUUUAACUUAUGAAUAAUGGAUAUAUAAUGGUUAAAUAUUUCGCAGUGGUGUCUUGCCAUGGCUUUGUUUGAACUUGUUUGUUUGCUUUUUGGCCUUGCAUGUUGUCCCUUAUAUUUUAUUAACUGUGCAUUUGCAUUCAGAUAUCGCAGAUCAAAUUUAUUCGUUUAUAGUGUAUUAACUUACGUUUUUGAUUGAGUUAAGCCUGCCAAUUGAUAUUUUAUCGUGUGUUUUUCUAUGUUGUGAUGUCAUGCUAUUGUUUUAGAAAAGGGGAGAAGGUUUGGUACCAUUAAAACGUUAAAUCCCGCUGCACAUGUUUGCAUCUGUCCUAAGUCAGGAAUCUGAUGUACAGUAGUUGUCGUUUGUUUAUGUAAUUUAUACGUGUUUCUCGUUUUUUUUUCAUAUAGAUUAGACCGUUGGUUUUCCCGUUUGAAUGGUUUUACACUAGUAAUUUUGGGACCCAUUAUAGCUUGCUGUUCGGUGUGAGCCAAGGCUCCGUAUUGAAGGCCGUACAUUGACCUAUAAUUGAUAACUUUUUUAAAUUCUUAUUUGGGUGGAGACCAACAUCUUCCUAUAUCUAUAUAGAGUAUAUAAAAAAGCGAAAAAAGUCUUCAGAUGUAUUCCUGUAUUGUUAUGGUGUAUGGUUACUGUCACGUGUAGUGUCAAGUCGUGUAGUUACUGUCAUAAUUUAUUCAUAUUCAACAACAAACAAAACUGUGUCAAUCCGAGUUGGCAAAAGUACAGGGACCAAACAAAUGCAAUAAAACCACAUUUGUUCAACUAUAAAACAAAUGUUUUUCACAUGAGACUCCUAUGACUAGGAAGAAGACCAAAAGGAUCACAUUGGACGACGGGAUACCACAAUAGGUUCAUACGCCUGUCCAUACCUUCAGUCCCAGUGAAAUAUGUAUUUAGUACUGAAGACACUACAAUGCAUGACACGGUUAUUUGAAUAAAACUUUAUUUAUAAAAUCUAUUAACCAAUUUAACUGAUAUAACAUAUUUAAUGAUAGAAUAAGGACAAAUUCUGCCUUAUCACUUGAAUUAUGAAAAAUUGUGUCAAAAACAAUUUAAAACAACAUUUCAGUUAUAAGACUCCUUUACUUAGAUUCCAUUGUUAUUAAAUAGUACCUUUGAGCCAAUUUAUAAAGAUUUAUUUUAUUGAAAUCUAUUUUCUUUCUAUGUAUUCUUCAACGUCAUAAAGAUAGGUAGUAUCAAUCAAAGUUUCCGUCUAUUCUGAGUCAUUAUUUUACUAGGAAAUUACAUGUUUAUUUUAACCAUAAAUAUUGUCCUUCUAAGAUUUGAAUACGCCUGUGAUUUAGAGAAGAACUUUUCAUGAACCUCAUCAGAUCGUGGCAUAGAAUCAUUUUCGAAGCCCUUUUAAAGUAAUUUAGAAUGCAUUUAAAUUUGAAAAGAUUAAUACAUUGUACAGGGUAGAAAACAAGAAUGUUUCUAUAGCAAUGUUAUUUAUCAACCUUAUAAGACAUGAACUUCAAGGAUGGACCUUCAAGAAACAAAAACUUUUAAAAUGUAAAACAAAUCGGAAUAAAGUCUUUUCACAUGGUGUGUUUCUCGAGUAAAAAGCAAAGGGAUAUCAGCCCCUGUCAAAUUGAAAAAUGGUACUCACUGCUAGCAUAAUGAUGUUUUUUGUCACAACAGUGGCAAUCUGAUGCGUUUAUAGAAAUAAGUUUUCCAAAAUCAAAUAUACUAGGAAGAUAUAAGGAAAAGAAGCGAUUGGAUAUUGGAUAGUACAUGUAUAUGGUUAGUAUACCACAAUUCAAGAACUUAGUUUUUUAGACAUGGCCAUUAAAAAGGGAUAUAAAUCAUAGACGUCUGGAAAUCAAAGAUAAGAAAAAGACGGAAAUUGAAUUAAACAUUUGGCAUUCUUCUUUCGCAUUAAAAUGACAUUUUCUCUACUUAAUUUAUAUGUGAGACAAACUCAAUGAAUAUUCCAUUCUAAUGUUAAAUACAUUUUUUUUUAAACUUUGUUUGCUGUUUAACAGUAUAACAUUGGCAAAAUUUUGUUUCGUCAAGAGAAUUAGUUCUCUCAAAUAUGUCGGUCUUAAGCACGAUUUGAAUAAACAAGCAUGUGUCUCCUUCAAUCAAUAUUAAUUUGGAUUUUUCGAUUUUUUUUUUUUUCGGUAGAAAAAAAGUUAUAACUUUUAUUUUUUGUAAUGUUACUGAGUGAAUUGAUGCAAAAUAGCCUGAACUUUUGUGUAAAAAGUCCAUAAAAUCAGCAAAAAGUUCUUCAAUGUGUCAUAACAUUAUAAAUCUCAAAUUACAAAUUCUUGAUGUCAAAGAGACAACAAACGGUCAAAGAGCAUUAAACAACUGAAGGCCACCAAUGGAUAAACAUAUACAUUUUUGUAUGUUUUUAUCCUUUUUAAAUGUAGUAAGUACAAGGGUUGACCAUACAACUAUUAAUGAUUUAAGGUAAACAAAUGUAUACUAUGUUUAACAAAGGAUGAUCAAAAGGUAUGCCGUUCUGUUGAGUUAUUUGGUUAAGGACUUUCCGUUUUGAAGUUAGUUUUUUUUUUUUUUUUUUUUUUUUUUUUUUGCAAUUUUUCUUUAAAAUAUAUGUAUGUGCCUAUUUAGUUGUUGUUCUUGGUUCAUGACUGUCAUAUUUGUUAUUGUUAUGAAUUAUAAUGUUAGUUUUACGUAUGAAUUGUUACAUGUGUAUCAUGUCGGAGCCUUUAAUAAUCGACUUUUUGAUAAUUUUUGUAUUGUUGACGCUCAUGCAUACACAUACCUGAAAUUCGAAAUUUAAAAAGAGUUUAACAACUGAAAACAUUUCAGCUUAUAACUAAAAGAUUUGCAAAAUAGAUUUAAUCGUGUCACAGUAUGCAACACGGACGCAUUGCGUUUCGUUACGUUUCUUGUAUACGUUUUGUUUUCUGUCUACUAUUACAUGAAACAAGAAAAGUACAUAGAUUAAUUAUUUCGAUAUCCUUAUCGAAUUACAUUCAACAUAUGUGAAACAAAACUUCACAUCAUUCAUGUUCCUUAAACUAGUAAAUAACAAAAAUAUCCAGACCUAAGGAAAACUCAUCACGAGGAGUCCAUAAUAAAUGGGCAAAAUCACGAACGCAAGUACAUCUAACGAAUGCAAAACAACGGUAAAAUAUCUUACUGGUACAGACGUUGUAGAAAAUGGUGCCUUAAACCUCGUUUGCAUGCUAGCUAAAUCUCUCACUUGUAGGACAGUCGCUAAUGUAUCUAUUGUCAUCACACGUGCGUGUUGAGUACAAUCGAUCAGCAUUGGUUGAUUACUGACGCCGAGUAAUAUCAACCCAAAGUUAAAUCAGCUGUUCAAUUUACAAAUAUUUCAGUUUUCUCUAUAACAACUUCUUGAAAUAUUCUGUUAGACAUUUUUUGACAAUAAUUUGAAUAUAUCAAAAUUGGAAUUGCCAAUCAAACUUUUAAAGAUGCUUUUUCAGCGUUAAAUUCUAACCUUUUCCCACAAAUAUUGCGUUUCAAAAUAAAUAACAAAUGUGAAAGGAAAUAUGAACGCACUUAAAGGAUGCCGUUUUCAGCUAGUGUAAAGCUAUACAAACCCAAACCAAGACAGCUUAAAAUGUCAGGUCACCCUUAAAUAUAGGAGAUUUAUUAUCAUCGAUUAAAACAUACAUGUGUAAUAACAAAAAUUGUAAAAAUUGUCCAUUGCAUUUAAAUCGUGUUAGUUCCGUUGCACUGGUCAUAAGACGAAGGUCAGUCAGAAUAAAUGUCGUUUAUUCAAUAACAACAUUUUGCUGGAUCAAUUUUCUUGGUAAUCAUUGUGUUUACAAAAAAUUCAGAAAAAUAAUGAUUGAAGUGACAGACAGAUUCAAUACAUAAUUUUUAUCACUAUAUAAAAAGAAUGUUUUGUAAUGAUAUUGAUUAAUUUUGUUUUUAAGUAUCAUGUUAUGUUAUCCAACAACAGUACCUUUACAUUACAUCUACAAGCAAAUCAUAGUUCAUCAGUUAUCCCAGGCAUAGAUUACCUUAGCCGUAUUUGGCACAACUUUUUGGAAUUUUGGAUCCUCAAUGCUCUUCAACUUUGUACUUGUUUGGCUUUAUAAAUAUUUUGAUAUGAGUCUUAUGUAGACGAAACGCGCGUUUGGCGUACUAAAUUAUAAUAGUGGUACUUUUGAUAACUAUCAUCACAGAGUAAACAAUAAUACACGAGAUAGUCAAACAAUGUGAUGUUUAUUUUCGGAGAAGACAUCUAGUUAGAUCCUAAAAUGAGGAAACAUUUUUAGCAAUUUAACAAACUGAAUUUAUAUCUUCAAUAGGAACUGUAUGCUUCUUAAGUAGAUAAGUAUAUUUAGUUGAUAAUCAAAAUAAAAUCCACAAAUAAAACUCCAACAAAUGUCGAAAUAGAAAGUCCCUAAUCAAAUGGCAAAAUCAAAAGCUCAAGCACAUAUCAAACGAAUGGCCAACUGUCCUAUUUCUGACUUGGUACAGGCAAAUAACCACAAAGACCACUUUACUAAAUUAGAAUAGCUACUCAUUAGAAAACAUCUUUGUUCAACAUUUAGUUUGAAUCACUACUUGAAAAAACCUAAUAUUCUCUGUAUUCAGACACUAAAAAGUAUUUAGUUCAACAUCAAAAAAUAAAUUAAAAAUAAAAGAUUUUAUAUUUUUUCCUUAAUAGAAAAUGCAUAAAGCAAACAUUGGAUUUGUAUUUCUUUUGAUUGCCUCAACAACCUUUACUAUGUAUAGAUGAUAACACCAUUUGUCACUAUACCUUAACAUUAUUUGUCAUUAUACCUUAACAUUUAUUGGUUAGCUUUAUGUGUCACUUGAGUAUUAUUAAUUUGUUUGACAUCUGUAUGAUAACAUUGGGGAAAUUAUCCUCUAAUUAAAACAAGUGGGAUUUGCAAUACUUAAAAAAGUGGUAAUGCCUAUCAUAAAAAUGUUAGGGUAGCAUACGUUGUACAUUUAUUGCUAUUGGGAUACCAUUCAGCAUAUCAAGUUAAAAGUGAACAAUAAGGAAAAGAGGGACAAAAGAUACCAAAGGGACAGUCAAACUCAUAAAUUAAAAAAUCAACUGACAACGCCAUGGCUAAAAAUGAAAUAGACAAACAGACAAACAAUAGAACACAUGAAACAACAUAGAAAACUAAAAAAAUAAACAACACGAACCCAUCAAAAAUCUAGGGGUGAUCUCAGUGCUUCGGAAGGGUAACACAUGCUUCAGAGAUAAACAAUGAAAUACGCCAGAAUCAAACACGAUGCUUAGUAACGGAUAUGAAAUACAUUGGAUAUCAUAAGGAGGAAAACUGCAGAAUAUUCACUUGUCAUGUUUUGAGAUUUUUUGUCAAAUGUUUGGACUCCUCUAAUUUUAUCAAUUUGAAUGCCUUAAAAUUAUAGAUUGACCCCAAUUUUUCUUUUAUAUGUUUAACUAUAACAUCUGUAAAUAAAAUUAACGGUACCAGUUUUCUUGGACCAAGAUGCGCAUUUCGACAAUACAUGUCUCUUUCAAUGAUGGAGCGUGGCCAAAAUAUUUGAAAUCCCAAGCUUAUAUAAAAGAUAAAGAGCUAUAAUCCAAAAGGUUUCAAAAUAGUUUAGCCAAAUCCGUGAAAGGAAUCAGAGCUUUUCAUGAGGGAGAUACAUUCCUUAAUUUGUAAUAAUUUCUAUCAUUUUGUAACAAUAAAUUUAUUAACACAAAAAAUCCGUAUUUUCAUGCCAGUACCGAGUACCGGCUACUGGGCUGGGUGAUACCCUCGGGAACUUAAUAGGGGUAAAUUCAGUAAAAAAUCUCCCAUUGACUUUAAUGCUAAUCUAUGUAUGGAAUUAAAUUUAUACCUGAUUUACCUUUAGAAAUUGGAAACUUUCAUAUAACAUUCAUGAAAGUACAAAUGUAGCCCUAUCUUUUGCACUAAUAAAAACAUAGGGUCAUGCGGCAUUUUUGGGCAUUCACAUGGCCUUGUUUACAAACAAUGUAGAUUCGCACUGAAUUCCUAUACUGACCCCCAUUACUUUUCAACCCUGUAGUAAAAAAAAAUUAGUACAUUCAGCAUUUAUUUUUUAUUUUUUUCAACUCUAGUUUUGAUCCAUCUGCCAAAAAAUAUUUAUUACAAACAUUAUCUACCAAUCAGAAGAGCAUAUGACUUCAGUGUUAUACAGAAAGCUCUCCCCUAAAUGGGCGGUCCCUGAUGACGUAUAUUUAUUUACUGAAUUUACCCCUAUAAGGGACUUUUUUACUUCUUUUCCCACUUUUUUUGUAAUAAACAUGUAAGGUAUCCAAUUUUCAAGUUCCAGUUUCAAUACAACAUUCAUAAAUGCUGAGUUUGUAAAGAUAGAGCAAAAUUUAUACUACAGCCCAUACUGCGGCCAAUGUAUAUUUGGUAUAUAAAGUUGCACAUUGACUGUUUUUAAAAGAAUGGUGUAAAAUACUAUGUUUAAUAAAUAUGAAUUGUUUUCUGUGUUUGCUUUGACCAGUAUUGCAAGUACACCUAGAAACUAAAGACUUGGUGUACUCUUAGUUAAAUUUUUCCUUAUAUGGAAGUUUUUGAUUAAAUACCCUGAAAAGAGCACAAAAGGACUUUUUAAAGGCUUUUUUAAGCAGUUUGAUACCAAAUAAAACAACAAUUAUGUUUCAUUAUACUAAAUCUGUGUUUUAAUUACUUGUAAAGUUCACAAAAUGUCAUUGACAAUCACUCUGCAGAAAUUCCUGUUACCCCAACAUCAGGAUGGAUUCUUCGCCAAAACUAGACAGCCAAAACUGAAGUAGAAAAAAGUGCCAAAUAUGAAUAAAUAAGACUAAGUAUAACCAAACUUUGCAUUUGGAAGAUUAAAGUAACAAUUUAGAAUAUUUAAAAGCAAUUAUUUAACAAAAAAAUCCAAUUACAAACAUUUCAACACUAGUUUCCUAGAUGAAGGACAUGUAAUCAUGAAAAGUUGUCUAGUAUAGUUUUUAAAUAAAGAAAUCGCAAUGCGUUAUGUAAAAAUAAAUGAAUACCUUCAUGCGGUCAGAUUAUUCGAGUGUUAAAAUACUAGAAAAGUGCUUAUUUACCACUUGUUCUACAACUUAACAUGGGGAACACAGCUAAAAAAAAAAUCACUAUGUCAAAGGGAGGUAAUCCAUUUUUUUCAUAUGAUUUUAUAUAUAUUAUAUGAGGAGAAAUAUGUGCAAAAUGUGAUGUAAAUGGGGAGGAAUAUUUAUGCCUUUCAUUGAUAUCAUAACUCUAAAGUGUAAUUUCUAUUGUUUCUUUCAAUCUGCACACAAAAAACUGAUUUUUAACAUAUACCCCAUGCUUCCUCUCACAGUACACUCAGUGCAUCCUGAAUAGCCGCAGCUAAGAUAGAAAUUUGUGUAAAAAACAACUUCAAAUGGUUCCAAAAUCCUUCCAUUACAUUAAAAUUUACAGGAAAUGAGUUUGUGGAUUAUUGUGUGGCCUUGGACAAGUACAGUGAAAGAGUGCAUAUUUUCCUAUAGUGGUAAAUUCAGUAAAAAAUCUCCCAUUGACUUUAAUGCUAAUCUAUGUAUGGAAUUAAAUUUAUACCUGAUUUACCUUUAGAAAUUGGAAACUUUCAUAUAACAUUCAUGAAAGUAAAAAUGUAGCCCUAUCUUUUGCACUAAUAAAAACAUAGGGUCAUGCGGCAUUUUUGGGCAUUCACAUGGCCUUGUUUACAAACAAUGUAGAUUCGCACUGAAUUCCUAUACUGACCCCCAUUACUUUUCAACCCUGUAGUAAAAAAAAAUUAGUACAUUCAGCAUUUAUUUUUUUAUUUUUUUUCAACUCUAGUUUUGAUCCAUCUGCCAAAAAAUAUUUAUUACAAACAUUAUCUACCAAUCAGAAGAGCAUAUGACUUCAGUGUUAUACAGAAAGCUCUCCCCUAAAUGGGCGGUCCCUGAUGACGUAUAUUUAUUUACUGAAUUUACCCCUAAUAGUCCACCAGCAGAGGCAUCGACCUGUAAAAGUCUUAUAAAAUCUUUGUUAUUGUUUUUCAUAGUUUUUGAGAACUGAAACUUGUCAAUGAUAAAGCUAGCAAAAGUUAAGGAAAAAUAUUUUCCCGCCAAAAUUUCAAAAGCUAAUAUCUCGAAAACAAGCACUUUGACCUAUAUAUUUUUUUUGUUCCUUAUGCAACCCCUAUCAAUAUAUACUAGUGUUAUGAAAAGCUUGUUAUUUUGAAAGUGAGUAGUAAACCUCCUAAAGUAAUUUGAUGAACCGAGUUCUGAUUUACCUCAUGUAACUGAAGUGUAUUUCACUAUUUAUUCAUUUUUGGAGAACAAAUAUAAUAAACUUUAAACUACUUUUUAAUAGCAUUUUCGACUCGUUUGAAUCAUCGUACGACACUAUUUGACAGAAAUAUUCCAUUUAAUUAAAAAACACCUUUAUACUAUCUUUCAUUACUAAAUCGUUAAUGCAUUUACUGUUACAUAUUUAUGGCAUGUUAUGGGUAUGGGUUUUGUAUAUUGUUGAAGGCCGUAUGGUGAACCAUAGUUGUUAAUUUCUGUGUCAUUUUGGUCUCUUGUGGACGGUUGUCACAUUGGCAAUCAUAUCACAUCUUCUUUCUAUAUUAAUCAGAUAUAUCGUAUGUAACUUGCCAGAACCUCAACACUGGUUACAAGGUGAAGGUCCUUCUGAAUGUUUAUUUUCUAGAAACAACAUUAUUUGGAAUCAAUUUCCUUUACUUUCUUCGUUUUUACAAAUAAUUGUUAAACAAUGAUAACUGACGUUGAGUCUGAUUAAGUAACAAAUAUAUUAAACAAAUAACAUUUAACGAAAGUGAGAUGUUUUGCAAGGAUAUUCAUUUCGUCUAUUCAAAAUUGUCAUAGACUUUCAUAUAUUUGUGGCAUGUAUACGUCAAUGGUAUUAUAUGUUUUGUCACUAUCAUCUAGUACACUAUGUCUCAAGAUAAUGGUUAUGACAAUUACAUCGACUCGAUCACAAAAUGAGUAACAGCUGUCGGUAAUAUAUCACAACCUUUUUGAUAUAUAACAAUUACUAAUCAAAAUAUAUCAUAGUUGAGCAAAGAGUAAAAUUGAUGCACGCAAUACACAGACCAAUUUAUUGUUUGUUGUCAGAGAUGAAUUCUAUUGAGGUACCAACGAAGGAAGAACUUAUGAGUAUUUUAAUAUACCGAAAUCAUAUUAUCUCGUGUUAAUGAAGUGUCGAACAUACAUAUUCACAACUCUUUGACAGAUUUAAUUUACAUGUAUAUAAUAAUAUAUUUGAGGAUAAUAUAUUUCUCGUUUCUUGUUUUUUAUAGAUAAGACUGUUGGUUUUCCUGUUUGAAUUGUUUUGCACAAGUCAUUUUGGGGCCCUUUAUAGUUUGUUGUUCGGUUCGAUCCAAGGCACGUGUUUUUGGCUGUUCUUUUAUCUUUAUUGGUUUACUUUAUACCCAUUGUGGCUAAGACAUGUUAGUGAGAGAUUUUCCCAUUGACACUCGAACCACAUUUUAUAUCUUUAUAUAUUAUAUUUUAUAGUAAACUUGAUUGGAACAUGUCCUUAUCACGAGAACGUCGUUGGACUGCUACAUGAAACAAAUAUCUUUUAAUCUUGAGAUGUUUAUCAUAUACAAUUUCGAAAAAUAACAAUGAUUUUAUAAUAUUCCUCAAUGUUUAAAGCAAAUAUAUGAAGAAUAUAGGUUGUUUGUGUAUCUUGUAAUUGUCUUCACAACUUUGACUACAAAACAAAUAACAGAACCAUGUGUCACUGUAUCUGUAAGUUUAUUGGUUCAUUUUAUUUGUCACUUGAGUAAUAAUUUUUUGUAUGACAUUUACUUCGCUCAUAAGAUACAGCCAUUAAUCUGUACGAUGCAUUUGAAAAAAUCCUCUGAUUAAAAUGAUACGGGAACAACAAUGUUUGGUAUUCAUAAAACAUCGUUAAACUUUAUAUCUGAACGAUAGUAAGACAUAUAACCGAAACGUUUUGAUAAACUAUGCUUUUGAAAAUAUCAUGGACAAUUCAUUAGCUGAUUACAAAUAUGUAUGACUAGAAUUUUCUCUCGGUAAUUCCUUCUCAUAACUGUGACAUAGCAACCACGAUCUUGAACUGACUGUCCAAGACACCUCCAUUACCUCACAAAAUUAAUUGGAAAUACACUUGUUCCAUGACAUGCUAUUGAUUCUGAACUAAAAAAUAAAACUAAAUAUAUUAGCAUGAAUAAUAUGAUUGAGUAUUCAACUUAUAUGUUGUCAAGAUUUUGUCCAUGAAAUAUCCUAAAAAACAGUCCGGGAAGUCUAUAUAUAUCAUCCUCUUUUUGCCUUUAUCUAUAUCUUGGACUAUGAAAAGAAUUGUCAAAGACAAUCUAAAAAUCUUUUACUCAACUAUGUUAUCGAUAUCAAAUGUGCAUUCAAGCCAAACUAGUAUGAAAGCUAUAAAGAAAUCUAACAAUGUUUAAUGUCUAUCGAAAUCACGUUCAUCUUUGAAUCCGUUUUUUCUGGGAAAUUACAUGUUCAUUUCAACUAUAAAUUUUGUUCUUCAAAGUGUAAAACGGAACAAAGAUUUGAAUAAGCUUGUAAAUUGAAGAAGUACUGUUCAUGAACCUCAUAAAACUAUGGCAUCGAUUGGCAUUGAAACGUGAAGCCUUGCAAAGUAAAACGGAACAAAAACAUUUCAAUAAGCUUUUGAUUUAAUAAAGUACUUUUCAUGAACCUAAUAAUUCAUCAGACUAUUUAGCGAAUCCUGAUAGAAGCCCCUGGGAAGUAAUAUAUUAUGCUUUUAAACACAACAAUGAUUUAUACAUUGUACGGGGGAAAAGGACAUGCUAUUAUAGAAUCCUAUAACAUAAACAUUAGAAGACAUAAUCUAUGGGGAAGUAAUUACAGAUUGCACUUUGUAAAUACAGCUGUCCACAAGACACGCCUCUUUAGGGGAAAUAUCUAAUAUUCAUAAAUAUUUUGUUUUGUUAACGUACUGGUCCCCAGAUAUGAUCUCUAUGUUUCAUGGCAUAGAGAAAUAACUUGGAAAUGUUACCAGUAUAAAAACAUAUUGUAGAGGUGAAAAAUGAAUUUUGAGGAAUACCCAAAGUGAAAGAAGUGAAAAUACAGAAGUUUAAAUACUUAAAAGUUCCGGGCAUAUUAAUAUUAAAAAUAUGCCGCACAAACCUAUUUUUACCUAAAUGAAUAAUAAGUAGUGCCUAUCAACUUUCCGUCCUAAGAUAUAUUUGUUUUAUGAAUAUUCAUAGUAAAAGUGGCAAAGCUUUAGUCGCAAAGAGAGUUCAUAUGAAAAAUUGCAUUGUCUGUAUUUACAGCAGUGCAACCUGUUAGACGUUAAGUAUUUAAAAUUAAACAAAUGAUUGGAUUGAUACUCUUUACAAUUUUGUUAGUAAUUCGUUAUCUGAAGAUAUACACCUGUUACUAUUUUUUUUAUCAGUUAUAUAGUGUCCUGGUGACCUAAUAUGGUACAUAAGGGGUCAGUUAAUUCCAUAUAGGGCGAGAGAGAAGCACACUAUGUAACAAAUCUAUCUUUACAACUAUCUUAACAUGUGGUUUUUGAACUAGUGACAUACCAAAGUGAGCAAGUCUUCAUACUGUUAGCAUUUAGAAACUACUGCUAUUGAUCAUACAAAAACAAUAAAUAUUUCAAUCUUUCAUCCUCAAUUUCUACGUUUGUUGCAACAUUUUAAGAUUUUUUCUCAGUACCGUUUUGAUUUUAUAAAGGAACGUUACACCACUACUAACAGUGCAUUGAAAUAAGCCCGCCUACUUACCUAGCAUGGAAUAUAAACGCGGUUGCUUUGAACCAAUCAUAUACUUAGAAAUGUAUAGGAGAUAAGAAAAUGAAAUUUACAUAGAUUAGAUUUAUUUUCAAAUGUGUUUUAUCUUGAGCUUAGAAACGAAAGCGACAUCAUCCACCAUCAAAUUGUAUCUGCAAACCAUUUUCCAUAUAUUAGUAUAGCCUGAAUGACGGAUAAUAAAGCAGUACAUACUGUUUUAAAUGUCACAACAGGAGUACUAUGAUGUUCAUUUUAAAACAAAUCAAUGUUUUUAUAAAACAAUAUUGAAAAGAAAAUAUAAAGGGAUAAAAUUGGAGAAAAUAUGUUCAGUUUUAUAGGUAUGGUCAUUGUAAAGAAGGGAAAAAACCGUCUCGUAUUAAAGAUAGAAAACAAGACGGAAGAGAAAUGGCCGUUUCGACAUCCUUCUAUCUAUCAAAGUAAAAUGUGUUUAAAAUAUAGCUUUUGCAAUGCUUUAAAGAAAACCUUCGUUAAAUAUGCCCGCCUUGUGUUUAAUAAUACGGAUCUAAACUUGUAUUCCAUAUUUUGACUAUUUUAUUUAUUAUGUCUAUUUAGAUCACGCAUCACUGUAGAUAUAACGGAAUUUGAUGAGACUGUCAACAAAGUGAGAGGGUUAGCGCUACAAAACCAGGUUUAAUCCUCCAUUUUCUAAAUUUUAUAAAUGUAUGUACCAAGUCAGCAAUAUGACAGUUCUCAAUUCGUUUUUGAUGAGUUUUGUCAUUUGAUUUUGCUAUGGGAUUAUAGACUUUCGAAUUAGAUUUUCCUCUGAGUUCAGUAUUUUUGUGAUUUUACUUUUUAGUUAGCUGUUUAUUGAAUAUAAAUUAUUUGCUUUUUAGGAAUGAGACUAGGUUCCCUAAAAUAGUUAUCUGCAUUUACAACACUACACUACAAUCGCACUACAGACAACAGACGAAAUUGAUCCUUAUGAACACCUGAGAGACAUCAGGAUACAAGAAAAAUUGUUACAAAAUGUGUUUUCUUCCUUACAAUCUUAAUUAUGAUUUUAAUAUUUUCGGAAGAAAUUUUUAAAACAAAACUAGAGCUAUAGAUUGAGAACUCAUGAUUCCUUCAUUGAUUAUAAUCAAAUAAACUAAAAUGUCACUAAGCAUUAUGUGUUGAGUUGAGAUAUUAGUUUAACCGAUUUUUGUUCAUUUAUGGUGCACUCAACUAUCAAAAACAACAAUAAUGCUAUAACUUUGCAAAAGGUCAUUUUCUUUUUAUCAAUUUUCUUGUCGUUACGUUACCCUCUGAUUCCUUUAUUUGUGAGUUAUUCAUUUCUCUAUUUUUGCUACGGGCAAUCUACAGAAUAUAGGUCACGUCAGAUAUUGGUUAUAGCAGCGCAAACAGAGGGGAGAAAGAUACCAAAGGGACACAUAAACUCACAGAUCGAAAUCAAACUGACAACGCCAUGGCUAAAACAAUAACAAACAUACAAAUAAUUAACAGUACACAUACUGUAUGUAUAAUUUUAGAAGAAAACCGAAAAAGGUGCAGUUAUCACUUGUACUUUCUGAGAUAUUAUUGAAUGAAUUUGAUGAAAAUUAGUAAAUUUAGUCAUACAUUUAUAUUUUUUUGAGUUGAGUGACGUCCAUUUUCACUGAACUAGUACACACUUAUAUUUUUUUUAGUUUGGUGAUGUCCAUUUUUACUGAACCAAUACACAUUUAUAUUUCGAGGCCAGCUUAGGACCAACUCUUGGUGCGGUAUUUUCUCGUUGGUUGUCUCUUCUGACAUAUGCCCCAUUUCCAUUCUCAACUUUUCUUUUAAACAGAAAAUACAUAUUCGGCAACAUACGUUAAGAACUUGUCGGAAAUUGAGAAAUUUAAAUACAUCAGUGUUUCUUGAUACUCAUAUGCAGUUCCCAGUUUUGGAUUUCCACGCAAAAUUCCAUUUAAACACAUGUGUAUCCCCUUUAUGCUUUGAUGAUACGUUUACGUCUCUAUUAAGUCUGCAGAAUACAAUCAGCUUUAAUUACGCCAAUUGAAAAUUCUUCGCAUUCAGUCAACCAAACAUGAUGGCGUUCAAUCUUCAACUAAUAUAAAAGUUAGCAUUCAAAUAAUAACAAAUUUCUGUCAGAAAUAUAUUGAGAAAUUUUAGAUUAUAUUCAAAUUUAAGUUAUGUACACUCUUUUUUUUUUUAACAUGAGUAUAAGGUGUUAACAUCUAAACUUUCACAGAAAUGUAAGAUAAAAUUGGAAAAGUUAAAUGAGUUUUCUUCUUACAAUUUUGAUUGUGAUUUUUAUGUUUUCUGAAGAUAUUUGGAGAUUUAGAUUAAUAAUGCAUGACUGCUUCAUUAAUUAUAAUCGAAUAAACUAAAAUGUCACUUAGUAUUAUGUGUUGAAAUAAAUAUUUAACCGAAAAAAAAUCAUUUAUAGUGCACUCAAGCAAUUAAAAAUCCCAAUAAUGCUUUAACUUCGCAAAAAAGUCACUUUAAUUUUAUAACUUUGCUUGUUGUUUAGUUUUCCUCGGAUUUAUUUUUUUGUUCUUUCGUUAUUCAUUUAUUUCUCUACUUUUUGUUACGGGCAAACUACCGUAUAUAGGUCACGUCAUAUAUUGGUUACAGUAGCACAAACCGUAUGCAUAAUUAUAAGCUUAGCAGAAAAUCGAAAAAGGUACAGUUAACUCUGAUGAUAACAAUGAAUUUGAUUUCAAUUAGUGAACUUUUGUAAAAACAAACAGUACAUAAAUCGGCAAAAAAUACGUUAAUAACUUGUCGUAAAAUCAUGUCAUAUCAAAUUACAAAUGUAAUGAUUUUGUGUACAUACAUUUCCUGUAGAUAGAUAAAAUCAUAGGGUGACCAACUUUGCUAAUGUAAUAUAGCAUACCAAUAAAAAAAACGUGAUAAUAAAAUGUGGUUGAAAAGGUUAUUCGUAUGACAGUUUGGUUGUGUUUUUGUUUUAAAGAGGCAACUUAAAGUUAAAGUAUUUCAUUUUCCGACGAUAUUUUACAAAAAGCAAUUUUUAAUUUGCACUUCAGUUUGAAGAACGCAAAUAAGCUUUGUCUCGGAAAUUGCGAAAUUUGAAUACAUCAGUGUUUUCUCUUGAUAUUCAUAUGUUGUUCGAGUAUUGGAUUUGCAUGCAAUAUCUCAUUUAAACACAUGCGUUUUGUCUCUAUGCCUUGAUGCUACGUUCACGUCUCUAUUGACCCCGCACGUUGCUGCAGAAUACAAUUGACCAGUUUUGACGACGCCAAACCAACAUUCAUUGCAUUCAGUCAACCAAACAUGAAUGGCGUUCAAUCUUCAACUAAUAUAGGUAAGUAAGCAUUCCAAUAAUAACAAAUUUCUGUCAGAAAUAUACUGAGAAAUUUUAGAUUAUAUUCAAAUUCAAGUUAUGUACACUCUUGUUUGAACAUGAGUAUAAGGUGUUAACAUCUAAAUUUUCACAGAAAUGUUACAUAAAUUAAAACGUAAAUAACAAAAAAAUAACGAAUUCCAAGGGAUAUGAAGAACGGAAAGUCUUUUAUAAAAUGGCAAAAUCAAAAGAUCAAAAACAUCUAACGAAUUGAUAACAACUGUCAUAUUUCUGACAAUCAUUUCCUUAUGUAGAAAAUGGUGGAUGAAAAUGGUUAUUCUAGUUAGCGAACCACUCUUAUGUAUGACAGUUGCAUAGAAUAGCAUUAUAUAGACAAAAAUGUUUGAGCAAAACAAACAAACAAAAAUAGGUGAAAACGUCAAAUGACUGAUUUCAGAUAUAAUAAAGCUGUGGAACUAUCAACUCACAUUGCAAUAUUUUUUAAGCUUAAGUUUUGCUACAUCACGCCUUAGUUGCUGAAAGUCUUAUCUGGUAUAAGAGAUGUAUAAUUCAAAGGCAAAAUAGCUCUGAUUCAUUUUUUUAUUAUUAUUAUUCAUCGUUUAACAAAGAACGCCGAAACAAUAACAAUCUGAUUAAGUGAUAAACAAAAUUAAAACAUAUUAUCUGUUAUCAUUAACUUAUCCAAUUAAAACAAAAUGUCUGGUAUUAUUCAUUGUAUCUAUUGAUCUGUUUUGCCAUUGUUAUAUUAUAGUUACUUUCUCUGUGUGUUGCAAAUUAGUGUUAUGUUUCUGUUGUGUCGUUGUUCUCCUCUUAUAUUGGAUGUGUUUCUCUCAGUUUUAGUUUGUUAACCGGAUUUAUUUUUUCUCAAUCGAGUUAUGAAUUUCAAACAGCGGUAUACUACUGUUGCCUUUAUUUGUAUAUACAUAUAUGUCAUGUAUAAGUCAAUGUCUCAUGAUAAUGUCCUUUGAUAUUUACUUGAUUUGUUAAAUCAUGAGCAACAUGACGGAUGCCAUAUGUGGAGCAGGAUCUGCUUACCCUUCCAGAGCAACUGCGAUCACCCUUAGUUUUUUGGUGGGGUUCGUGUUAAUCAUACUUAAGUUUUCUAUGUUGUGUCAUGUGUACUAUUGUUUGUCUGUUUGUCUUUUUCGUUUUUAGCCAUGGUGUUGUCAGUUUAUUUUCGAUUUAUGAAUUUGACUGUCUCUCUAGUAUCUUUUGUCCCUCUUUUACAUUAAAUGGCGUAUGCGUUUACAAGUACCAAGUCUGGAAAAUGGCCAUUGUUAUAUUAUAGUUCGUUUCUGUGUGUGAUACAUUUGCAUGUUGUGUUUUUGUUGUGUCGUUGUUCUCCUCUUAUUUUUUAUGCGUUUCCCUCAGGUUUAGUUUGUAGCACGGAUUUGUUUUUUUUUUUUUUUUUUUCUCUAUCGAUUAUGAGUUUCGAAAAGCGGUACACUACUGUUGUCUUUAUUUACAAUAGCACUUCGCCAUUGUACAAAUAUAUUUCAAUAACUAAAGAUAUUUUGUUAUUAUAAUCCUGGUACCUUUGUAACUAUUUUGCAUAGCUGAUCUAAAAGAAAGAGAGAGAGAAACACGCAAUAAACAAUACAAUGUGUUUGUUAUUGUCGGAAAUGAAAUCUAUAGGGAUACCAAAGACGAAACAAUAUUCUUUAAGUGCGUGUCAAAAGUCAAAAGCCAGUACCUUAGGGUUGACGUUUGUCCAUGCCUUUCGUAAUAUAAAACUUAGGCCGUUAGUUUUAUCGUUUGAAUUGUUUCCCAUUUUCUGGCCUUUGACUUUUUUACCCGCCUUUAUAGUGGCCUUUUUUUAUGUAUUAUUUUGAUCAUUAUAACUAAGGUUGAUAGCUGCCUCAUUCAUAUAUUUACCACUUUUAUGUGAAUUCGAUUAACAAGAAUACCAUUUACAAUUGUUAAAACAUGUAAUUGAAGUUACAAAGUUUAUUUUAUUAAAAAAUCUUUCCACGUAUCCUACCUAAAUAUACAUGAUUUUUAAAAAACAAAUAUAUUAUGUUUUAUGGACUGUUCCUUAUUACAUUCAUGAUGUUCCACCAACCUUUAAAAUGUCAAAGCACAUACGAUAUAUAAUAAAGUAUGACUGUGUAAAUGAACAACUAAUAACAUAGUUCCUUCUAAUCAAAUGUGGGUCUUUAUUUCAAUAUAUAAACAUUACAACUAUAACAUCGAUUUUAUUCUGGUUAUUAUUCAAAUAUUGAACAAAGCAAAAUGUGGGUUUGUAUUUUUUUUUUUUUUUCACUGUCUUCGCAACCGUUACUACAAAUAGAUGAUAGCCCCAUGUGUUAUUGUAUCUUUUAGUUUACUCAUUCAUUUUAUUGGUCACUUGAGUAAUAUUAGUUUGUAUGACAUUUAGUUUGCUUAUUUUAAACAGACAUCAAUCUGUACAUUCUAAUGCAACAACGUUUGUAACGUUCAUUUUGAUUGGAUAACGUCGCUUAUUUACAGGGCAUCAAUUGACAAUUGAUGCUAUGGGACGUACGCGCAAGCGCAGACGGCAUAUGACAGAUUUUAAAUACAUGUUUUAACGUUGUUUUCUGUCAGUUUCAUUAGAAUGGAGAUAAAGAUAUUGUAUUUUAAGCUCCGACGGCAUCAAUUGGGGAUUUGAUGGUCGCAAAUACCCGUUUACUGUCUUCGCUAACGCAUCGCCAGUAAACUUAAUUUGCGACCAUCAAAUCCCCAAUUGAUGCCGUUGGAGCUUAAAAUACAAUACAGUUAUCUCAAAAAUACCAUGAGGAAAAUUUCUAAUAUCAAACAAGUGUAGGAGGAACAAUGUUUUGAACGGCGAAAAGACAAAUGACAGAAACAUUAUCAUGAUUAUGAUAUACUAUGAUUGAUUUUGAUUGGUCAAGUUAUUCAAUCUUACAAUAAAUGAACUGAACGUAUUCAUCACUGUACCUUAAAAUUACUGGUUAUCCUUAUUUUUCACUUGAGUAUUAGUUUUUAUUACAUUUACGUCGUUCUUAUAACAAUUAAGUCGAACGUAAAUUGUUUUGUUUCAAAUUAGGCCGUUGGUUUUCGCUUAUUAAUCGUUUCACAUUUUUCAUGUUUUUAAAGCCGACUUUACGGUAUGGACUUCAUCUUUGUUGAAGGUUGCACAAUUGCCAAUAACUUCUUAUAUCUACUUGAUUUCAACAAUAUAUAAUUAAUUGUCUCAUUUGCAAUCAUACCACAUCUCCUUUUUUCAAGAUCUUAGAAUCACACAGGUUAUCAUAAAAGUCACUCAGAGAGAAAACAAAAGAAGCGCGAAUUCAAAUAUUGCAACACUGCUAAGAGGUAAGUGAAGUAUGAAAAAACGAAUAUCGCUUAUUGAAUUUUGACUCCAUGUUAUAAACAUAACAUCAUCAAAAAACUAAGAGUGACGGGUGAGAAUCUCAUGUCUGAUAGUUUUAAUUUCAUCUAUACAUCAAGGUUGACGUUUUAGAAUACCUCAAGGGUAACGUAUUGAAUACCUCGUGGAUGACGAAUUGGAAUACCUCAGGGGUGACGUAUUACAAUAUGAUAACUUAAAUAUCAUCUACACCUCACGGAUGAGAAAUAAAAAUGCACCGCACUUUGCAUUCUUAAUAAAACCAAUACUUUUUCAUUGACUGAUAGAUGUUAUAGAAGACUUCUUGUAUAUUUGAAUAAUGAUGCAUGAACACUUUUAGUAAUCGGAUACACAAAUGCCUGAAAUUGUAAUCUCCCUUUUAGACUGGUGUAUUUUGGUACCAAUAUACUGGAAAUAUACACUUAAAAAAAACGAAAAUUCAAACACCACCAUUCAUUGCAGCAAUUUGUUUACGGUUUUACAACGGUGGUGAUAAUAUUUUAAAGAGGAUAGUAAAAUCUUCACAUAUUGCUUCAAAAUGAACACUUUUAUCAUUUAUGCUCUCAUUGGAGAGUCUAAGUAACCAUAUACUCACAUUUUUUUGACAAAUAAAAUCAUAUAAUCAUUGAUUAUUUUUUUUUUAAUUAAAUAAUUCAAUAUUCAAACAUAAAAUUACAAUAUGAUACUGAACCCCGAGGAAAAUUCUAUCGGAAAGUCCCUGAUCUGAUGGCAAAAUCAAAUGACAAAACAUCAAACAACUGGACAACAACUGUCAUAUUCCUGACUUGGUAGAAGCAUUUUCAAAUGUAGAAAAUGGUGGAUUAAACCUGGUUUUACAGCGUUAAACCUAUCACUUGUACGACAGUUGCGUCAAAUUUAAUAAUAAUUUGAUAUUAAUGCGUGAACAAUAGUUAUCAAAGGUACCAGGAUUAUCAUUUAAUACGCCAGACGCGCGUUUCGUCUUUAUACGACUCAUCAUUAACGCUCAGAUCAAAAUAGUUAUUAAGCCAAACAAGUUCAACGUUGAAAACCAUUGAGGACCCAAAAUUCCAAAAUUCCCCUCAUAGUUAAUUUCUAGAUAUAAAUCCUACUCAAAUGACAAAAUCAAGUGCUCAAAGACAACAAAACGAAGGGAUAUCAACUGUCAUAUACCUGCCUUAGUACAGGCAUUUCCUAUGUAGAAAAUAGUGGAUUGAACUUGGUUUUAUAGCGCUAAACCUCUCACUUUAACGAUAGUCUCAUCAAAUUCCGCUAUAUUUCCAACGAUGCGUGAACAAAACAGACAUGAUAAAUAAAACAGUCAAAAUAUGUUUACAGCAGUCAUCACUGUGUUACAAAACAUUUAGCAAAAAUUAAAGAUAAUGCAAACACAUGUACAUUGACGAGAUAUAUAAGUACCGAGCCACGUCAAAUGGAUAUCACAGAAAACAAUCCAAACAGCAAAAGUAAACAAUCUUAAAACAAACCAUUUUUAUAUUAACAAUAUAACAAAGACAAAUGAAAGAACAAUAUCACACGUUGUUCAGAUGAAAACAACGUUAGUAUGCAGAAUCUGUACAUCAAGACCAUCAUGUAUUAUUUGUGCAGUUGAUACGGAAUAUUUAUUAACAAAGGCCUUUGUACCUUCCGAUGAACUUUUUUAGGAAAAGGACGAGACGUUCUUUGACAUACCCCUGGUUCAUCAUCUUUCUGCGCAGACACUGGUGACGUUUUACAAAGUCUGAGUAGGAGCUGCAAACACUCUUGAAUAUCGAAUAAGUUGGGAAAUGUAUAUCCCAUAUGCAGGUGAAGUUGGUAUAUUGCUACGAAGGUGGGGGAAAUUUAUAAUUUAAAAAUUAAAAUAAACUCGUUUGUCAUUGAUUAUAGUACUGUCCUUGUUUAUCAAAUAAUCCAAUAAUCAUGAUAUUUUUGGUCUGAAAAUUAAAUAUCACAAUAAAUAUGUUCACGUUAUCACAUAUUUAAAAACCACAUGAGGAGGCUCGUACUGAAGCAAAGAAAUAGCAUGUACAAUAUCACAAACAAAGGAUUGCACGGCUCGAUGUCUUCCUCCAUUUUGGAUUUUGAAGUAACAGAUAAAAGAGGGACGAAAGAUACCAAAGGGACAGUCAAACUCAUAAAUCUAAAACAAACUGACAACGCCAUGGCUAAAAAUGAAAAAGACAAACAAACAACAGCACACACGACACAACAUAGAAAACUAAAGAAUAAACAACAUGAACCCCA
rnacentral:lncRNA from 1 species